rnacentral:rRNA from 1 species
AUUGAACGCUGGCGGCAUGCCUUACACAUGCAAGUCGAACGGCAGCAUGGGUGCUUGCACCUGAUGGCGAGUGGCGAACGGGUGAGUAAUGCAUCGGAACGUACCCGGAAGUGGGGGAUAACGUGGCGAAAGUUACGCUAAUACCGCAUAUUCUGUGAGCAGGAAAGGGGGGGAACGCAAGACCUCGCGCUUCCGGGGCGGCCGAUGUCGGAUUAGCUAGUUGGCGGGGUAAAGGCCCACCAAGGCAACGAUCCGUAGCGGGUCUGAGAGGAUGAUCCGCCACACUGGGACUGAGACACGGCCCAGACUCCUACGGGAGGCAGCAGUGGGGAAUUUUGGACGAUGGGGGCAACCCUGAUCCAGCCAUGCCGCGUGAGUGAAGAAGGCCUUCGGGUUGUAAAGCUCUUUCGGCCGGGAAGAAAUCGCACAGGUUAAUACCUUGUGUGGAUGACGGUACCGGAAUAAGAAGCACCGGCUAACUACGUGCCAGCCGCCGCUGUAAAAC